rnacentral:lncRNA from 1 species
UUUGAUGAUUUGAAAUGUAUCCCUAUUUAUAAAGGGCUGAACUUACUGCGCUUUUUAAAAGUGAGGGAGAUUUGAAAAUUUCUGAAAUUUUUAAUGAGAUACAGCAGAUUCUGAAAUUUGUGUACUUUAUGGCGCCACUUUGAAAUUUGUGAUACUAGAAAUAUUUUGGCAAAUUGAAAUAGUGCAGAUUCUGAUGUUUUAGUUGGCG